ACAACGGCCCUUUUCAGGGCCACCUAAAAUCUCCCAAAAAGAGUGA
rfam:Lottia gigantea unplaced genomic scaffold LOTGIsca_619, whole genome shotgun sequence.